rnacentral:rRNA from 1 species
CGGUAAUUCCAGCUCCAAUAGCGUAUACUAAAGUUGUUGCAGUUAAAAAGCUCGUAGUUGGAUUUCUGCGGGGACGGAGCGGCCGGACGCAACUUGCGUCUCGAGCUAGCGCUUUCCCCGCAUCCUGCCGCGAACCGUGCUACCAUUAGCUUGGUGGCGCUGGGGAUCGGCUCGAUUACUUUGAGAAAAAUAGAGUGUUCAAAGCAGGCCACACGCCUUGAAUAAGUUAGCAUGGAAUAAUGACUAAGGACUUCGGUUCUAUUUUGUUGGUGUUCGGGACUGAAGUAAUGAUUGAUAGGGACAGUUGGGGCGGUCUGUAUUCCAAAGCGAGAGGUGAAAUUCUUAGACCUUCGGAAGACAAACAGCUGCGAAAGCGUUCCGCAAGGAUGUUCCCUUUGAUCAAGAACGAAAGUUGGGGGAUCGAAGACGAUCAGAUACCGUCGUAGUCUCAACUAUAAACUAUACCAGCUAGGGAUCAGUCAACGUCUAAUCAUUCGACUUGAUCGGCACCUUAUGAGAAAUCAAAGCAUCUGGGUUCCGGGGGGAGUAUGGUCGCAAGGCUGAAACUUAAAGGAAUUGACGGAAGGGCACCACCAGCCGUGGAGCCUGUGGCUUAAUUUGACUCAACACGGGAAAACUUACCAGGUCCAGACAUAGUAAGGAUUGACAGAUUGAUAGCUCUUUCUUGAUUCUGUGGGUGGUGGUGCAUGGCCGUUCUUAGUUGGUGGAGUGAUUUGUCUGGUUAAUUCCGUUAACGAACGAGACCCCAGCCUGCUAAAUAGCGCGGCUGAGCUUUGCUCGGUGCGAGCUUCUUAGAGGGACUAUGAUGCGCGAUAGCACAUGGAAGUUUGGGGCAAUAACAGGUCUGUGAUGCCCUUAGAUGUUCUGGUCCGCACACGGGCUACACUGGCGCCUGCAACGAGCAUAUCAGCUGGCCCGAGAGGGUCUUGGCUAAUCUUUUGAACCGGCGCCGUGCUUGGGAUUGACCAUUGCAAUUGUUGGUCAUGCAACGAGGAAUGCCUUGUAAACGCGAGUCAUCAGCUCGCAUUGAAUACGUCCCUGCCCUUUGUACACACCGCCCGUCGCUCCUACCGAUGAAUGUUCCGAUGAAAUUUUCGGAGAGCGCCAGAGAACGGGGCUCUGCCUUGCAGAUCUGGAGGCUCAAAGUCACUUAAAUCUGAACAUUUCGAGGAAGGAGAAGUCGUAACAAGGUAACC